GACGAACGCUGGCGGCGUGCUUAACACAUGCAAGUCGAACGGAAAGGCCUGCUUUCCCUUGUGGAUUGCGGGUACUCGAGUGGCGAACGGGUGAGUAACACGUGAGUGAUCUGCCCCCAACUUGGGUAUAAGCCUGGGAAACUGGGUCUAAUUCCCGAUAGGACUGCAGGGUGGUGCCUGUGGUGGAAAACGAUUUUCUAGUGGUUGGGGAUGAGCUCGCGGCCUAUCAGCUUGUUGGUGGGGUAAUGGCCUACCAAGGCGGCGACGGGUAGCCGGCCUGAGAGAGUGGACGGCCACAUUGGGACUGAGAUACGGCCCAGACUCCUACGGGAGGCAGCAGUGGGGAAUAUUGCACAAUGGGCGGAAGCCUGAUGCAGCGACGCCGCGUGGGGGAUGACGGCCUUCGGGUUGUAAACUCCUUUCGGCCGCGAGGAAGCCACCUGGUUGGAAGGGUGGUGACGGUAGUGGUAGAAGAAGCACCGGCUAACUACGUG
rnacentral:rRNA from 1 species